AGUAUCGUUCCGACAGCCGAGAGAAAAGUCAUGAAGCUGCAAAACUUCCUCAAAUAUAUCCUUUGUGGUUUGCUGUUGGUGCUCACUUCGAGGUUCAUUCACUGCAAUAAAUUUAAUUCAUCCGACAUAGGAGAUGACGAACUGCGGCAAACACGAGGCGUUCUGGACUACCUGCUUGGGAGAUUUAAAACAUGUGGCAACUGUCUUUGCGGAAGACCAAAUCGAUUUGUUGAGACACGGUUCCUUGGCGGGGAAUACACGAAGACUCAUGAAUUUCCCUGGCUUGCAAAUAUUCACGUGAAAUCAAAAUUACUUCUCAGCGGAGUUCUAAUAAACGAUCGUUAUGUUUUAUCCUCUGCUAGCCAACUCAUUGGUGUAACCGCGCCGGAAGUAAAAAUAUCUUUUGGAGAAUACGAUCGAUGUAACUUGGAUGUAUCAUCGACCACAGUUAGUGUUGAAUCUUUGGUUCUAUAUCCGGAGUAUAACGUAGAAUCACAUGCUCAUAACUUGGCACUGAUGAAGUUAAGUCAGCCGAUUAAAUUCGAGAGAAGAAUCUCUCCCAUUUGUUUGCCAAACCCAGGUUCGACUUAUCUUGGACAAGUUGGAACUUUGGUUGGGUGGAUAGUGAGCACAAAGGAAGAUACGAACAACAAUCAGACUUGUCGACCGCGAAAAUUGGGUCUUCCAAUUUUGGGACGCGACGAGUGUAUUAGAUCUGGCAUAAAUCUUACAAAUUUUCACAACGAUUCCGGCUGUGCUGGAAUAUUAGGUGGAAGUUCUAUUGUAUGCGAGGUAUGUUAAUUUAUCGUCAGUAUUAUCUUACUAAUUGUUUACAAAUUCUAUUAAUAUCGAAACUCUCUAAUUAAGUACAGAUAUAAAAGAACGAUGUAGGUUCUUCAGUGCAAUAUCGUUCAUAUGCUGGAGUAUAUGAUCUAGUCGGUAUAAUUUCGGAUGUAAAUAAAUGUGGUAGCACCCCUGCCAUUUCGAUAUUCACAAGAGUUGGUCCACAUCUAAAUUGGAUAUUACAACAAACCAAAGAUGCGUGCUAUUGUCCAAAAUAAUAGAUCAUAGUUAUUGAACUACGAUCAUUUCUCUCUUGUAAAUAUAAUUCUACUGUAUAGUAUUCUAAACCUUUAGAAAGAAUAUGUAAAUCCAUUAGUAAAUAAACUUCUAAAUAAGAAAA